rnacentral:lncRNA from 1 species
AAGCAUUUUGAUAAACUUUUCUCCUGCUCUAAAGUUUGCCUUGGUCUUUUCUUCUACCUUAUGCCCCUCAGUUGAAUUCUUUCUUCUGAGGCGGCAGGAAUUGACUUUGCUGAUAUAUUUCGGUGCGCUGUGACUCGGAUAACUUUCACCGCUAACAUACAUUGGCACUGCUUGACUGGGAUCCAUGCCCUAAUGACAUUAGUGACCCUGCUCCUCCUGGCUGAUCUCUCAGCUCACCCUGAUGGAUGGCUCAUCAUAGUGGAAAGGACGUUGGGGUUCACAUGGAGUAGGACUGAAGCACUAAUGGCCCUCCUGGACAGGAAGCUCACGAGAAUGCUAGAGCUAAAGUCUAAAACCGUGCAAUGUCUGGGUUUCCUCUGCUUUUUCAUCUCAAAUUGGCUCUUUCCCAAGAAUUCACAAUGUCUAUUCUCCUGUUUUCUCUGUGUGUGUUCUGAAAUGGCCUUGCACACCUGCCAGACCAUCUGCCUUGGGGUUAUGAUUCAGCAAACAGGAUCAUGAGGGCCACUCAGAGAAAGGGAACCCAGAAACCUGGAAUGCCGGCAAAAGGGUAAAAAAUUUUCACCAUUCAGAUUUCUGGCCACCCUCUCUCUGUGCAAAUGAGUUGUAGGAGUGGUAAAAAGCACUGUCUCCUCUGCAAAGUUUUCGUUAGUGAGAAAAAGGAUUCAUGAGGCCACUCUUAAGCUGCAACAAACCUGGUUUGCUUUCUGCUAUGAAUUUUUCUUUCUGUUUCAUUCUUUCAAAAAGAGGGGUACCUUAGGGUAGAAUGUGAAUCUAGGAUGCCUGUAAGCCCACUGUUCAAGCCAGCCUGGCAAACUGGUCAGUUACAAAAUUUGCUGCAGUUCUGUGAUACCAAAACAAAACAACAAAAUAAAAAAGUGGAUGAAGAUUUUCUCUCGUCUUGUUUUACGUCCUUGAGAGCUUGAUUUUGUAACCAGGUGGCAGUACUUUUUCUUCAUCUUCAGUAUCCA